CUGAUUGCCAGGAUGCCACAUCUAAUUUCGAAGAGGAAAGCAGUUCCCACUGUAACAAGCCACCACAUCAUUCCACAGAUGACACAUCUGAAAGUGAAGAAGAGAACAGUUCCCAAUGUAACAAGGCACCACAUCAUUCCACAGAUGACACAUCUGAAAGUGAAGAAGAGGAGUGGGACGAACUCAACACAACACUACAUCAUAACAUGGUAACAAACACAUUUUCUUUAAGAAAUUAAAAUAAAAUUGCAUUUAUCAAUGCUUGUAGUUUGUGUACAGAGUAACUAUUUGUUCAUUUGUGAUAGCGAGGAGAAUCUGACAAUGAGAAUGAACAAAACUGGCAUAUGACACCCCCUAAGGACCCCACAGUAAGUACAUCUGAAAUGGCAACAUCUGUAUAUACAGUACUUACAUUUAUCUUUUGUUUGCUCACUUCUUUAACUAUUAUAUUUUUAUCAUGUCUCUCGAUCCUUAAGCAAACUGUAACUCUUCUUUUCAACUGUGUAAUAGUGUAGUAAGUGUUUGGUGUAGAUUUAACAGAACAAAAGAAGAAUAUUUAUUUCUUUCAGAUGGAUGUUGAAGGACAUGGCAACAUGGACAAUAAU